rnacentral:rRNA from 1 species
GGAGAUACUAUAGACUUGAGACCGGGAGAGGUUAGAGGUACUCCCAGGGUAGAGGUGAAAUUCUGUAAUCCUGGGAGGACCGCCUGUUGCGAAGGCGUCUAACUGGAACGGUUCUGACGGUGAGGGACGAAGUUAGGGGCGCGAACCGGAUUAGAUACCCGGGUAGUCCUAACUGUAAACGAUGCGGACUUGGUGUUGGGGUGGCUUUGAGCUGCUUCAGUGCCGAAGGGAAGCUGUUAAGUCCGCCGCCUGGGAAGUACGGUCGCAAGACUGAAACUUAAGGAAUUGGCGGGGGAGCACCACAACGCGUGGAGCCUGCGGGUUUUAAAUGGAUUCAACGCCGGACAUCUCACCAGAGGCGACAGCUGUAUGAUAGCCAGGUUGAUGACUUUGCUUGACUAGCUGAGGAGUGGUGGUGCAUGG